rnacentral:rRNA from 1 species
UACAGGGGGUGCAAGCGUUGUUCGGAAUCACUGGGCGUAAAGGGAGCGUAGGCGGAACCAUAAGUCAGAGGUUAAAUCUCCGGGCUCAACCCGGAACUUGCCUUUGAGACUGUGGUUCUUGAGUAUGGUAGAGGUUAGUGGAAUUUCCGGUGUAGCGGUGGAAUGCGUAGAGAUCGGAAAGAACACCAGAGGCGAAGGCGACUAACUGGACCAAUACUGACGCUGAGGCUCGAAAGCGUGGGGAGCAAACAGG